CUGGGGAGUACGGCCGCAAGGUUAAAACUCAAAUGAAUUGACGGGGGCCCGCACAAGCGGUGGAGCAUGUGGUUUAAUUCGAUGCAACGCGAAGAACCUUACCUGGUCUUGACAUCCACAGAAUCUAGCAGAGAUGCGAGAGUGCCUUCGGGAACUGUGAGACAGGUGCUGCAUGGCUGUCGUCAGCUCGUGUUGUGAAAUGUUGGGUUAAGUCCCGCAACGAGCGCAACCCUUAUCCUUUGUUGCCAGCGAUUCGGUCGGGAACUCAAAGGAGACUGCCGUUGAUAAAGCGGAGGAAGGUGGGGACGACGUCAAGUCAUCAUGGCCCUUACGACCAGGGCUACACACGUGCUACAAUGGCGUAUACAAAGGGAGGCGACCUCGCGAGAGCAAGCGGACCUCACAAAGUACGUCUAAGUCCGGAUUGGAGUCUGCAACUCGACUCCAUGAAGUCGGAAUCGCUAGUAAUCGUGAAUCAGAAUGUCACGGUGAAUACGUUCCCGGGCCUUGUACACACCGCCCGUCACACCAUGGGAGUGGGUUGCACCAGAAGUAGAUAGCUUAACCGCAAGGGGGGCGUUUACCACGGUGUGAUUCAUGACUGGGGUGAAGUCGUAACAAGGUAACCGUAGGGGAACCUGCGGUUGGAUCACCUCCUUAC
rnacentral:rRNA from 1 species